AUUGAACGCUGGCGGCAGGCCUAACACAUGCAAGUCGAACGAGUGGCGGACGGGUGAGUAAUGUCUGGGAAACUGCCUGAUGGAGGGGGAUAACUACUGGAAACGGUAGCUAAUACCGCAUACCAUCAGAUGUGCCCAGAGGGGAUUAGCUUGUUGGUGGGGUAACGGCGCACAAAGGCGACGAUCCCUAGCUGGUCUGAGAGGGUGACCCGCCACACUGGGACUGAGACACGGUCCAGACUCCUACGGGAGGCAGCAGUGGGGAAUAUUGCACAAUGGGCGAAAGCCUGAUGCAGCCAUGCCGCGUGUAUGAAGAAGGCCUUCGGGUUGUAAAGUACUUUCAGCGGGGAGGCGUUACCCGCAGAGGAAGCACCGGCUAACUCCGUGCCAGCCGCCGCGGUAAUAC
rnacentral:rRNA from 1 species